rnacentral:rRNA from 1 species
AUGGGAGCCGUCCCUUUGGUUAAUCUAGCUACUAUAAACCAUGUCACUGAAAAUUUCUCCGAAAGUAACAUUAUUGGUCAAUGUGGAUUUGGCGUUGUUUAUAAGGGCCAGCUCACUGACGGAAGAAUGAUUGCUGUUAAGCGGCUUAAACAGUCGGCUCUCACCAGAAAAGGAAAGAAAGAUUUCGCUAGAGAAGUUGAAGUGAUGGCCGGGCUCCGGCACAACAAUCUCGUUCGUCUCCUCGCAUACUGCAAUGAAGGAAAAGAGCGGAUACUAGUUUACGAAUACAUGCAGAACAAGAGCUUGAACGUCUACAUAUUUGGCACACCUAGCCUUCGUACUUCAUUGAACUGGGCAAAGAGACUUGAAAUAAUCCAUGGUAUCGCGCAUGGUAUCUCGUACCUUCACGGUGGAUCAGGCGAGAGUGUAAUCCACAGGGAUCUCAAACCAGGCAAUGUUCUUCUAGACGAUGAAUGGAAGGCUAAGAUAGCAGACUUCGGCACUGCCAAGCUAUUCGCCAUUGAUCAAACAGGGCCUGAUCAGACAGUCGUUGUUUCACCGGGAUAUGCAGCGCCAGAGUAUGAGAGAUCGCUCACUUCGCACGCCCUCAUCGACGGGCCUGGCUUUGGAGUUAUCCUCUUGGAGACACUAAGUGGGCAAAGGAAUGUCAGCAUGCAGAGGCUACUUUUGAACGCUUGGGGUCUCUGGGAACAAAACAAGACUAUAGAACUUCUCGACACAACAAUAUCAUUGCCACUUUCUGAGUCUGAGCCUGAGCUCUUGUCUGAGCUCAAACGAUGCAUACAGAUUGGACUUCUUUCUGUCCAGGAUAUUCCCAGCGACAGGCCAACCAUGUCUACAAUUGUCGCCAUGCUAACAAGCACUGCUUCGCUGAUUAAUCGGCCGGGAAGGCCGACCAUGGAUAACACGGCUAUGCAUUCGUCCCAUGAGCUUGAAUCCAACCUCUCGAGCCCGAGUACAGAUGAUCUGACAUAA